rnacentral:lncRNA from 1 species
CGGUCACGAGUCUAGAGCCUCUAACAAAACUGAGUAAUAAUAAUAGAAUAUGAAUACUAAAACCAAAAUAUCUAGGAAAGUAUAUAAUAAUAAUCAAAUGCAGAAAUAAUGGAGAGAAGCCAGGUCCUGCGAACGUCAUGGAGCUACCUCAACGACACUGAUAUAUCUCUGGAGACUACGAGAAUCAGCUAAGCCUCCGGUGUACCUGAAUCUGCACNNNNNNNNNNNNNNNNNNNNNNNNNNNNNNNNNNNNNNNNNNNNNNNNNNNNNNNNNNNNNNNNCUCCGGUGUACCUGAAUCUGCACACAAGGUGCAGGGAGUAGGGGUGAGUACUACCGACUCAGUGAAUAAUAAGUAUAAAAAAUGACUGAAAGUAAGAAAUGCACAAAGUACCACAUCGUAAAGCUAUAACUAACAAUCCUAUAACUUAGCUACAGGCUAACAGCAUCACAGUAUUACAACAACAACCAAGUAUCAGAUAAAGAUGCAAUGCAAUGAACAUGAAUUCGCUGCGGAACGUGCAGCCCGAUCCAUUUAACGUCGACGGCGCUCACUGGGGUGUGUACAAACUCCGAAGGGGCUCCUCCAACCCAAGCGCAAUAUUAUCAUAUCACCGCUGCGGCGUGCAGCCCGACCCAUGCUCACUCCACAGUAUGCAUAUGAGUCACUUAACAGAUUCAACUUAUUUUUCAAUUUCCAAUUCUUAGGAAGAAUAUAAUUUAAUUAUUUAAUUUCGGAAAAAAUUACUUAGCAUUUCAUUACGGUAAUUAAACACAGGACUGAGCUCAAUGAUUAUGUGAAUCAUGUUAUCACACAGACAUUCACCAUAGAUGGGUGCUACAUAUCGGCACAAGGCCCCAAACAUGGCACUAAGCCCAAUUAUCAAUAACACAAUGUGUGUUUCAGACGCCAAUAAUUUAUGUUCAGCUCUAGGGACAGACCAAGUCAUAAUCCCCAAUCAUUUACAAUCCCGCACCUGGUGCGAGUCACGCCCUAACAUACCGCCACGAUGUGAUAAACCGGGGUUUCAAACCCUCAGGCCAUCAUCUAUACAAACUACUCACCUUUAACUAGUCGUAGACUGGUCUGCAAUGCCUUUUCCUUUUGAAUCUCUCUCUACGAGCGUCGAAUUUAGCUGAAACCACAACGAAUACGUUAUUAUAGGCUAAAUAAAUAACCUAAUUGAAAUUAUUCGAAAAAUGCUAAAAAACAAAAUUGGUAAAAUCCCUAGUCCAGUUAAUAAAUUACUGUAUACAAACUUGGCCAACAGUAGCACUUCAAAGUGCCGAAACAAUAGUAGCUUCACAACUUAUGCCAUAACCUAUACCAUGUAGUUUAUAUUACUCCAUCAUUACAUCAUGAUUGGAAAUUAUACUUUAUGUAAAUAAAUAAUCCAAUACUGUAGGUCUUACAUAGGUUCAAUCCACUGUAUAAGUGUACGAAAAUCUUUAUUCAUCCAAAAUUCCCUUCUCAUAUUUAUUCUUUAAAAGCUAACACUCAUCAGUUUCCACAUUAUUAUCCAAUCACCAUUCAAUCAUUAUGUCUUCAUAAACCCAAGUGCAACUUGUAAUCAAUAUCCAGAUGCUAAUUGAAUUCCAUCUACUAUUGUAAGAAUUAAUACCUGGACUUUGGAAGCUUACUACGCUAUUGAAUGCCGUCGCCGGUAAUUCUCCAAUAGAGCACUCCACUUCUUCGUUUCCCAACAACCGAGAGAAAAUCCCAUAUGAAAACUCUCUACUAGGUCACUAACGUGCGGCGGACCUACGAGAAUUGGCUUAGCC